CACAUGUACCCUAAAACUUAAGGUAUAAUAAAAAAAGGGGAAAAAAAAUAAAAUUAUCUAAUAGGCUGGCACUCAUUAUGUGCCUCUGUUCCCAUUCUGCAGGUGGUGAAGCCCCCUAAUGUCCUGACUCCACAGUUCCUGUCCCAUGACCAGGGCCAGCUCACCAAAGAGCUAUAGCAGCACAUAAAGUCAGUGACAGGCCCAUGCAAGUACCAAAGGAAGGUGAGUGAGCACAGACAGAUGGGGCCUGGUGCCCUUGAGCAGUUUCUGACUUUCAGCUGCCCUGUGUCUCAUAGCGUGGCCAUGCUGGGGGAAGCUUAGGCAGUCACAGUACUGGCCUUUUCCUCCUUUUUCAUUCCAUCUGAGUGGCUUAGGGAUGGGGUGGAUGAAAACCACUGUCUUGUGUCAGAAACCCAAAAGGAAUCAUUGCUGGCAUGUUAAGCUAAAGAAAAACAACCAGACAAGUGCCCAACAGUACUUAAAAAGUUAUAAUCCUGCAAAAUUCAAAAAGGGAAAUCCAAAUAAGCAGCUUCUAAACUAUUUUUAAACAUUACAAUAAAAAUACCUUCCAUAUUGCAUAUAUAUGUGCUUAUAUGAAUAAUAGAAUUAACAAAACAUAGUUAUUUUAUAACAUGUAAUACAUUCUUAUUUUUAAUUCUCUUUCAUUUGUUUUAAAUGCUGUGUGCAAUCUACAAAAAGUUCAAUAGUAAUAAUUAAAUUAUUCAUUAAAUUGAGCAUUACUUGUAAUUUAAAAUGAUAAUCUUAAACACAAUCUUAUUUUUGAGAUAAAAAUAUUUUAGCAAUAUACUAUUAAGAGAAAAACACUGGCUAUGAAAGAAUUUACAUAGUUUCAUCCUAUCUGUUUGAAAAUAAAGUUUGGAAGAAUACAUUUGAAAAAUAGUUAACAUUUCCUUUUUUGUAGUACUUUGCGGCAUUGUCUAAAUAUUGACAGUCAAUACACAUUAUGAAGUUACAUGGUUAACGUUGAUUGAGUACUCACUGUGUGUGCCAGGCCCUGGGCUCAGUGCUCUGUGUGCAUUUUUAUUUUAUUUAAUCCUCUCCACAAUGUGAGAUAGUAUAGCCAACUCAUGUUACAGAGGUGAAACAGGCUCAGAGAUUGAAAGUUAAAUGCCUGAGGUUGCAGUCAAUAAGAGGAAGAGCUGUAACUGAAACCUAUGUGUGUCUGACGAGCAGUUCAUGUUCUGAUGGUAGGCUAGUCUGCUUAACAGAGUGUGGAAUAGAUGGUGCAUGCAUACUAGGAUGGGCUAGAUACCACUGUGGGUCACAAACAGUCUUAAACAAUGGAGGUUGUUUUCCUGCUCAUGCUGCACGUCCAUCAUGGCUCUCCUGGGCCCUGUGCACCACAUCUUCUUAUCCUGCUGCCAGGGUAAAGGAGCAGCCUCCAUGUGGAACCUGUCAGGUGCUCUCGGAGAUAGAGAAGAGGGUGUCCAGUCUCAAUGGCUCCCAACUCUUCUGCCUCAAGGUGACAUGCUUCGCUUCCACUCACUUUUGGGUCAAAGCAAAUCACAUGGCUACACCCAACUUAAACGGCCCACGUGGAGAAGCUGAAAUACUCAGUGGACACCAUUAAGGCCACCAUAUGGUGUUAGCCUGUGUGGGAGACUGUGGAGGGGCAGAGGAGGAGAGUAGGGGAUUGGUAGGAAAUGACAGCAGGACUAAGUCACCACAGAUUUGCUUUAUCUUCAGCCAGGUGGAGUUUGUCCCAGAGCUGCCAAAAACCGUCACUGGCAAGAUUAAACGGGAACUUCAAGUUUGGUCAGAUGUAGUCAGCAGUGAACUCAGAAAUGACUGAAUGACAUUGAGUCAGUAAAUCCCUGACUGCCUCAGUUACCCCACAUGAUAGUGGUGAGGAUGGGAGCAUUGAAAGAGUUGAUUUGGAAGGAUAUCAGGAGUGUGAAAAUUCCAACAUUUUACUUCAAGUUAAAUCCAGGCACUAUCCUUCCUGCAAGUCCCCUGUUUCUUUCAGAUUGCACAGGUGAGAGUGCUCAGAUUAGGGCUGUAGGUUAUAAAAUAUUGGCUCCCACAUGAACAGUUCCCCUGUGUCGUGUUUGUAUUCUGAGCAUUUUUCUGUGCUAAACACUUCCCCAAAACAUCCUGGGUCCUGAUUCUUCCUCCUUGUUCUGUCAGUGCUGGGUGACGCAAGUGCCCAUUUUUUGGCCAGGACACAGAAGUCUCAGAGGGAUGCUCUGUGAGGCCCCAGGUGCCAGCCUCUGCCCUGCUGGAAUGUGAGGCAAGGGACAGGGCAUCUUCUGUGAGGGGGCAGUGGUCAGCCAGCUUGGUGACUAUGCUUGCUUAUCAGACCAUCCCACACCUGCCACCUCUGAUGAAUCUACUGCCUCUGUGCCUGCCUGUACUGCUGAUACAGGACUCACUCAGCUGUCCCCAGGCGUGCCCAGACUUUCAUUCCUAUCCAGAACCUAGGAGUCCUGCCCACUGGCCCUCCCUCAUCAGCAGUAAAUGAUGAUUUACUGCUGUUAUCAUCAUGACUGCCUUUAGCAUCUGAGAACUUUCCAGGGUGCCAGCUCUGGAAGGACAGAUGCCCUUGGGAGGUGCUGACACUCAGGUACACAGGUGCUCAACAGAUUUCUUCCUCCUGUCCUCAGACAGUCUUUGCAUGUAGCCAUUGGCACUCCCAUUGUAUGGAAGGAAACCAGCCCAGGGUCACACAGCUGGUCAGCAGCACAGCUGGUCUCAAAUCCAAGGUGCUUGGCCUUGCCUCCAUGAGGGACCUGCCUGUGAGGUUGACACUGGCUUUGGGGAGCCUUUCCUGGGCUGCAUAAAUAACCUACCCUGUUUGAGGCCCCAAACUCUGCUCAUAUUGCCCUCCUUUCCUUAUGUCUACUUGGGCUAUAAUCAAGGUGACCCCAGCAACCCUUCACGGACAUUAUGGUAAUCUGUGCCGUUCACUUUUGUGCAGAUCUGACUUCAACCCCCUCUUGGUCUCUCCUUUUACAAGCAAGACAACUGAAACUGGGGGUCUUUAUGCAGCCAAGACUGACCAUGAGGAACACUUGGAGCUCAGGAAGGAAAGAUCAGCCCAGAAGCAGGGACAGGGAGCUGGUUGGGGAGGAUGAGAAGUCAGAAGGGGGCCCUGAGAAAACCAGGACAUGCGGGUCCAGUGGCUGCUGUUUUGGCUCCUCCUGCUUGGGUUUCCCAGCCAUCAAUCCACCCAUCUGGCACAGGAUUGACUCCUGGUGGAACCCAACUCAGUGAUCUGUGCAGUGUGGUGUUUUCCAAACUGGCCAAGGUGUCUGCAGGGCCCUCAGAAUUUUCCAAGCAAGAAAAGAUUUGGCUACUUGGAGAAACUUCAUCCUUCUGGAGGUUUGGACUAGUGGUAAACUCCUGUGAUUCUAAAGCAUUCCAUAGCAGAAUCCACUGAUGAUGACAAACUGAACCUUGGUGUUCCUGGAUUAGUGGGAGGUGGUGAAAGGAUUCUGUGGUAGUUCAGGUGUUCACAGCUCUCUUGCUUUUGACAGAAUUUCUUAAGUAUUUUUUUAAAAAGAAUUUAAAAAUUUAAAGCGAAUUACCAUAUCAUCUAGCAAUUCUACUUGUGGGUACAUACCUGAAAGAAAUGCAAGUAACUUAUCAUAGAGAUAUAUCCACACCCCUGUUCAUAGCAGCACUAUUCACAAUAUCCAAAAAGUAGAAACAUCACAAGUGACCACUGAGGAAGUAAUGUGGUGCAAAUAUACAAUGGAAGAUUAUUUAUCCUUAAAAGAAAGUAAAUUUUGACACAUGCUAUGCCAUGAAUGAAAUUUAAAGAUAUUAAUGCAAAGUGAAAUAAGACAGCCACAAUCAUACAAAAUACUAUGUGACUGGCUUAUCUAAGGUACCUAGAAAUACACAAGUUCAUAGAUAUAGAAAAUUUCUAUGGGUUGUUAUAUGGGGGGUAGUCAGGAAUAGGAGGAAAUUGAGGAUGGGUAGUUACUGUUUAAUGAUACAAAGUUCAGUUUUGCAAGAUGAAAAGAGUUCUUGAGACAGUGAUGUUUGUUGCAUAAUAAUUUGAAUGUAAUUAUGGAUGCUAAAAUAUACACUCUAAAUGAUCAAUAUAGUUAAUUUUGUUAUGUAUAUAUUAUCACAAUUAAUAAAAUAUCAUUUGUGUCUUAAAAAAAGUAUUACUUGUAUUAUCUAGACAUUAAAAUAGAAUGAGAAUACUUAGUGUUUAUUGAACAAAGCUACCCUGACAACUAUAGUAAAAUGAAGAUGCAAAAGAGCAUAAGGGAAGCCAUUCAUGGGGCAUGUAUUGGUGAAAAGCUGUGCCCUCAAAUACUUCACUCCUUGCAAUUCCUUUUUAUAGGCAUCACCUCCAGAAUCUACUUGAAGUGGAUGACACUGACUUCCAUGAACUGUUUUCCUGUGAGUAAUUUCUCCAUUUUAGACAGAGUUAUCCAUGGGAAGGUGAGUCUGAUCAAGCUGCUUGACCAUGAUCAGAACAAUUUGCUUCCCCAUUGCAUCAUCAAACUUUAAUUUAAAAAGCCCCACUUUCUGUCCGUCCCCAUAGCUCCUCCCUCACCCACCAAAAUGAGUCACUUGGGGCAGUGGUGGGCAGAUGAUUUCAGAUAUCCUGAUCUCAAUUCCCUGAUGUCAGUACGUCUGCACAUUCUUUGUUUUUUUUUUUUCAACUUUUAAGUUCUGGAGUACACAUACAGGAUAUGCAGGUUUGUUACAUAAGUAAACAUGUGCCAUCGUGGUUUGCUGCAAAGAUCAUAGCAUUACCUAGGUAUUAAGCCCAGCAUCCAUUAGUUAUUCCUCUUGAAGCUCUCCCUCCCCCAGCUCCCUGCUCCAAGA
rnacentral:lncRNA from 1 species